rnacentral:SRP_RNA from 1 species
AGCCGGGUCCCGCGCAACGACCAGCUGUGAACCCCGUCAGGCCCGGAAGGGAGCAGCGGUAACGGCGACGGCCGUGUGCCGCGGGGGUGCCUGGCUGUC